GCUUAGAGAGGGGUCAAUGUCCUAUCAGCUAGUUGGUAAGGUAAUGGCUUACCAAGGCUAAGACGGGUAGCCGGCCUGAGAGGGUGGUCGGCCACACUGGGACUGAGACACUGCCCAGACUCCUACGGGAGGCUGCAGUCGAGAAUCUUUCGCAAUGCCCGAAAGGGUGACGAAGCGACGCCGCGUGUGGGAAGAAGGCCUUCGGGUUGUAAACCACUGUCGGGAGUUAAGAAAUGUAAGGGUGUUAAUAGCAUCCUUACUUGACUAAGGCUCCGGAGAAAGCCACGGCUAACUCUGUGCCAGCAGCCGCGGUAAUACAGAGGCGGCAAGCGUUGUUCGGAAUUAUUGGGCGUAAAGAGCACGUAGGCGGCUUUGUAAGUCAGUUGUGAAAGCCUUCCGCUUAACGGAAGAACAGCAUCUGAUACUGCAAGGCUAGAGUGCGGAAGGG
rnacentral:rRNA from 1 species